rnacentral:rRNA from 1 species
AAUGAACGCUGGCGGCAUGCCUAACACAUGCAAGUCGAACGAGAUACUGACUUCGGUUGGUAUCUAGUGGCGCACGGGUGCGUAACGCGUGGGAAUCUGCCCUUGGGUUCGGAAUAACAGUGAGAAAUUACUGCUAAUACCGGAUAAUGACGUAAGUCCAAAGAUUUAUCGCCCAGGGAUGAGCCCGCGUAAGAUUAGCUAGUUGGUGGGUAAAGGACCCGACCAAGGCGACGAUCUUUAGUCUGGUCUGAGAGGAUGAUCAGCCACACUGGGACUGAGACACGGCCCA